UCCUUCAAAAAUCCCUCAAACUCCUUGAAUCUUAGAUCUAGGAAACUUUCCCGUCACGUUUUUCCCCAAAUUAUUGAAACUCCAACCACUACCACCCCACAAUACUUACAUCAAUGGAUAGAGCUUCUCAAGACCUAGCUAUUGAUGCCAAUUUCACCCUGAAAAUCCGGCGACCAAAAUCCAGCUAAAUUCCGGCGACCUCCCCGAACACCCUCGUUUGGCAUACCACCAUUUUUUCGGCCACUUGAAUUGUAAAAUGGUAAUCCUUUAAGUCUCGUAAUGUACGUAUUUUCAGCAAUGGGAACAACUUGAACAUGCUGCACCAUUUAAAUGUGUUUGAUGUGAUGAAUAGUUUGACAACAAAAGAGCUUGUAUGUUGUUGUUAUGUAUCAAGCAUGUGAUAAUGUGAAUAUAGUCCUUCAUAAUACUUGAAUAUUGAGUUGUAAGUUUUUGAAUGUGAUAUGUAAGUCGUUUAUGGAUUUUUUUAA